GACGGAGGAUGCAAGUGUUAUCCGGAAUCACUGGGCGUAAAGCGUCUGUAGGUGGUUUAAUAAGUCAACUGUUAAAUCUUGAGGCUCAACUUCAAAAUCGCAGUCGAAACUAUUAGACUAGAGUAUAGUAGGGGUAAAGGGAAUUUCCAGUGGAGCGGUGAAAUGCGUAGAGAUUGGAAAGAACACCAAUGGCGAAAGCAACUUUACUGGGCUAUCACUGACACUGAGAGACGAAAGCUAGGGUAGCAAAUGGG
rnacentral:rRNA from 1 species